rnacentral:misc_RNA from 1 species
UUAAAACCGUUAGUUUCCUUGGCACAUUUUUCGCCUUUGCAUUCAACUGAAUUAGCCUUUUUAUGGUUUUUGCUUUCCUUUCCAUUUCCUUUUCAACUAAGCAUUGGCACCAAUAACUGUUUGUGCCUCAAGAAAUAAUAAUAUUUACUUUUGUGAAAUGUGGUUGAAUCUGUUGUUUGAAUCCAUAAUUAAGUUCAAUUCUGCGAGUGACUCAGUGUUCAUGAUAAAUUUCAAUUUUGUUUCUG